rnacentral:ncRNA from 2 species
UUUUGAAAAAAAGCGCCAGGACUAAGUGAAAAAGGAGGUUAAUUAGCUGAAGCUAAUUAACUAAGUUCGACUAACCAAAUCAUAGAUUUGGAGUCUCACUUAUCACUUAAGUUGACGAGGUUGGGGAGUAUCGAAACUUCGGCGGGUGCCCCACGGUAUCGCACUACCGUAAACGACUGGUAAAACUGUAAAGCGAUUUGCAGCACAAAUUCAGUCUGGUGUUAAAA